AGUCCAUCCCUAGCAGGGCGAAGUGGUUACGAGUCACAAGUGAGGCCCAUCAGGGCAAUUAAGGCCCCUUAGUGCCCUCAGGAGGCUCGUGCUGUGCUGGAGUUUUAAUUUGGCCUGGCUCUCUUCCUUGGGGAAGUUCCAUCUCUAUUUAAAAACAGGAGAUUCCCUUUACUAAAGGGAGAGAAGGGUGUGCUGAGGAUGGAGGAGAAGCAAGAGAUGGGCUGAAAUCUCCCUGUGUGAAAGUGAGGCUGUGACCCCAACCUGGUGCCUCCUGUCUACUUGCCCUGGGCUGCAAAAAGAAGAAUCAUCCCUGGAUCUCCCUCAGCACAAUUCCUCCUUGUCGCAAAGCAGCACAACAACUUGAGUCAAAGCAGCCUGCAUGAGCUGAAAACUUGUCUUCAGCAGAUGAGGGGGACGUGAUGGAUGGCACGGUGUCUUUGAGCUUCUCGUCUAGCUUGCUAGAACUUCUGAAUAUGGGGUUUUAUUUAUAUAUUCCCCUUCUUGGGUUCAUUCACUGAAUCUGUAAGCCACCCCUGAAUGCCAAUUCUGGUGAUGGUUUUCUUUUCCCACCCUUCCCCUUGUCUCAUUUUUAAGUGCUGAACUCUGAAACCCCAGACUGAGUUUAUACCACUUGAGCUACAUCAAUAUUUUCAGGGAGCAAACUUCAUUUUGCAAGCAGCUGAGUGUUCUUUUUUUGACUUGAAGAAAUGGGUCAGAAUUAGAAAUUCACUUGAUUCCUUUCCUAAUGUGACCCUUUUUUUAACACAACUACUAAUUGUGUAGCACUGGUGGUGUAAGAGGCAGGUGAGAUGAAGGUGCUAAUAAGCAGAACGUGUUUCAGUAUGUUGGGAGCUUCAUGUGUAAUAAAGUUUGGUCAUGCUAAUUCUUCUGCCCAGCAUCUGACCCUCUGAGUUCAUAAAUGGAAGGGCCCUGUGUAUUUCCUGCU